UUUUGUUUAAUAAACCGCUACUUCAAGUAGUGGUUUUCUAGCAGGUAUAAUUUCCCGAUUUCACUUUCCUCUUUCAUUUUCGUCUUCUCACCAAAAUCCCAUCCACGCCUUCCACCAAAAUCACACCUCCUUCAACGGAAGCCGGCGCAGCCAAGGAAUCCACCGACGCCGCCGGAGCAUUCCUCAGCAACGAAGGCCGCCGCUGUUGACGCCGAGGGUUCGACUUUAGUGGUCGGCUUCGCUAAUUUCAGAAGAAACGUGCUGAUCUUCUUGUUUGUGAAUGAAACAUGGAGGUUCCGAACUACCCUCUAUAUUGCUAUUGGGGUGGAGAAAUUGUCCACAAAGAUAGCGAUAUAACGUAUAGGGGUGGGAAUCAAAGAUUUGUGUUUGUACAUUCUGCGAUGACAUAUUCACAAGUUCUGAACAAGCUAUAUGAAGAAUUGAGUGUUGAUCCUAGAGGUGUGGAGUUGAAGGUGGUUAUGCGUUAUCCUAUGGCAGGGGCAUAUGUUGCAAUUCCGUUAAAUGACGACAACGCUGUUAGAGCUAUGUGGAUUGUUGUGACUCAGAGUUCUUCUGUUGCAAUGCAAUUGUUCAUUGAACAAGUUCCAAAGGAGCCAGUUGUGCAAACUAACACUGGUUCCUUUCCGGGGAUGGAUUUUUUUGGUAGUGUGGAUCAACCGUUUUCCACUGGUGUUCAAAGUAUGGGCAUAGGGUCAUUCACAAGAAUGCUUGUUGAUCCACAUUAUGUCAAUGACCAUCUCUCACAGUUUAGGUCUCCGGCCUCAUCGCCUAAUGUUGGAACCUCGACAAGCACACAACCACAAGGCAUUCUUGAUUCUCUUGACCCAAACAAUGUUGAUGUAUUUGGCGAUGCAGAGAUGAAUGACACUGAUGAAGAUGAUGAUGAAGAGGUAAUUGAAGCUCGUGAUAAGGCAAUUAAAGGAAGCGCCCCCACUUCAGACUUCAAUGAAGUGGCGCAAGUUGAUCCUCGUUUGAAUAACUCAUGGAUGUCUUGGUUAGGAAAUGAGACAUAUAACAAUGGGGGGGGGAAUUUGAGGUUGGUCAGCAGUUUGACUCAUUGAAACAACUGAAAGAUGCUGUGAAAUCUUACUCCAUAGCUAGAAAUCAAACAAUUCGAGUUGUGGAGGCAGAGCCAGAGAAAUAUGUUGUUGAGUGCAAGAGGAAAGAACAAUGUAGUUGUUCGUGGAGGCUUAGAGGAGUGAAAGACUCUACUACUUGCCGUUCCUUCGAGACUGGGGGACAGCUUCGACCUACAGCUGGGGGAGUGCGACUCUUGGUUUUUUGUAUCGGCAGCUAUGUCGAGGAUGUCAGCGAGAUUCAAGACAGAUUGGAGGCCCGCUCAUCCUACUACAGUUGUGGUCGUGGGAGCAUAUUAAUAUUGGCCGACCAUACAUUAGGAGGCCUCGAGAUCCGCCACAGGAGGACCCUGAGGCUGAGGAUGAGGAUGACAUUUUGGGGACUCAGCAUCAGCGAGGUGUUGACCCUUUGGCGUGCAGGUGGUUACGUGUCCAUCUAUCGUGUGCGCAUACUGCUUCUGGACUACCAUACUACAGAGAUGCGUUUGACCAUCAGCGCGAGGACCAGAUGAUUUGGCAGCCAUAUACUGAGGCGGUGAUGGAUCGACUUCCGGAGAUUUGUCGCUCAGACAUGCACAUUUGGCGUUCACGGGCACCUCUGAUAUGCUUUGACGUCGUUGAGUUCCACCUCCCAGACCGAGUCCUUCGUCAGUUCGGGUUAGACCAGCCGAUCCCACAGGAUGUAGACACGGACGUUGCUCUACACAGGAAGGAUCGAAGGGGACAGCGUAAUUGGGAGAUUCGGCAUUCGGACCAUGUACACGAGUGGAGUCGACGAGGGAUACCCGUUCACUGGGACUUCUUCCCCGGCCAUGACAGAGUACAUGGCUUGGUACCGUCGCAUCACGAGACUGGUCAUUACUCCACCUUCGCAGGAGCGCCCCCCGAGUCAUUACCAGCCAGCUACCUCGGACCUCCUGCUUGCACAUGCAUUUGCUGAUUUGCACGUCCAGCUAUCGGGAGCUACUGAGACCAUCUCCCACUUGCCACCAGAGACGGCUAUACCAUUUGCCAUACAGACGAUGCAGGGUUUUACAUCAUUUUGUGGCCAAACCUUGUCUAGGGUGGGGCAGUCACACCUUAUUCAGCAGCCUCGACCGUCCACGUCUUCAUCUUCUACUGUGCACACUAUGCCGAUCAGACCACCACCUCAUCGUGGAGGCCAUUCAUCACGUGCCUUCCGUCCACCGACUCCUUCUCAGCAUACUAUCAUGACAUCUCCUCCACUAGUGCAUCGCCAGUAUCAGAGAAACCGACGGCGUAGCAACACUACGUCUGGGGUUGGAGUUGGCCUGGAUGACAUUCCAGAGGAGACAGCUGCAUCAUCUUCAUCGUCACCUCAUGGGAAGAAGCAACGCCCGAGCUAAGUGUAUAUUUUGGAACUAAACUAAUUUUUUUGUAAAUGCUUAGAAUUGGAUUUUGUUAUAUUUAAUCAGUUGAAAAAUAUUCGACUUUGCAAUUUCGACUUCCUUAGAUCUUCAUAAACUUGUUAUUUAUGGUGGUUGUGUUGAAAAUAUGCUAUAUAUCUCAUGUUUUACAGGUACACAACU